AAUUUUGGACAAUGGGGGAAACCCUGAUCCAGCCAUCCCGCGUGUAUGAUGAAGGCCUUCGGGUUGUAAAGUACUUUCGGCAGAGAAGAAAAGGUACCUCCUAAUACGAGGUACUGCUGACGGUAUCUGCAGAAUAAGGACGGGCUAACUACGUGCCAGCAGCCGCGGUAAUACGUAGGGUGCGAGCGUUAAUCGGAAUUACUGGGCGUAAAGCGUGUGUAGGCGGUUCGGAAAGACAGAUGUGAAAUCCCGGGGCUCAACCUUGGAACUGCAUUUUUAACUGCCGAGCUAGAGUAUGACAGAGGGGGGUAGAAUUCCACGUGUAGCGGUGAAAUGCGUAGAUAUGUGGAGGAAUACCGAUGGCGAAGGCAGCCCCCUGGAAUAAUACUGACGCUCAGACGCGAAAGCGUGGGGAGCAAACA
rnacentral:rRNA from 1 species